rnacentral:rRNA from 1 species
GACGAACGCUGGCGGCGUGCUUAACACAUGCAAGUCGAGCGGUAAGGCCUUUCGGGGUACCCGAGCGGCGAACGGGUGAGUAACACGUGGGUGAUCUGCCCUGCACUUCGGGAUAAGCCUGGGAAACUGGGUCUAAUACCGGAUAUGACCUCCUAUCGCAUGGUGGGUGGUGGAAAGAUUUAUCGGUGCAGGAUGGGCCCGCGGCCUAUCAGCUUGUUGGUGGGGUAAUGGCCUACCAAGGCGACGACGGGUAGCCGACCUGAGAGGGUGACCGGCCACACUGGGACUGAGACACGGCCCAGACUCCUACGGGAGGCAGCAGUGGGGAAUAUUGCACAAUGGGCGAAAGCCUGAUGCAGCGACGCCGCGUGAGGGAUGACGGCCUUCGGGUUGUAAACCUCUUUCAGCAGGGACGAAGCGAAAGUGACGGUACCUGCAGAAGAAGCACCGGCUAACUACGUG